CGUCGGCGAUGCCGGCAGGGCGCGCUUGUGUGCCUCGCGCGCGUGCAUGUCUUCCAGGCACCCGGGAAAUUUAAUUUGGUUUUGUGCUCUUUUCGCGAAGUCGCCUUUGAGGUUGCCUGUUUGUCAUGGCAUCAGGAGCGCAUUAUUCGUUACUCCUCAGUCGUGAGUAAGAGCAACCAGCAGAGGUGUUCUCAAUUGUCCAACCUCAAACCAAAGAGAAACAGCCAGGGACUGACUGCCAUUCAACGUCGUAGAGGGAAAAGGUCGUCAUGUAGAGUUCUGCUUUGGACUUAUGGUGCACCGAAUGGCCGUGCCAAAGAACCCCACUAGCAUUCGUUCAUGAACGAGCAUGUAUGUGCAUACAAUUAAAAGCUCUGGUAAUA